rnacentral:piRNA from 1 species
UUACGUUCGUUUUUUUUAACU